rfam:Ictidomys tridecemlineatus contig047699, whole genome shotgun sequence.
GGGGUUGUGACUCAGUGGUAGAGUGCUCGCCUACUAUGCAGGAGACCCUGGGUUCUAUCCUCAGCACCA